UGGGGAAUAUUGGACAAUGGGCGAAAGCCUGAUCCAGCAAUGCCGCGUGAGUGAUGAAGGCCUUAGGGUUGUAAAGCUCUUUUACCCGGGAUGAUAAUGACAGUACCGGGAGAAUAAGCUCCGGCUAACUCCGUGCCAGCAGCCGCGGUAAUACGGAGGGAGCUAGCGUUGUUCGGAAUUACUGGGCGUAAAGCGCACGUAGGCGGCUUUGUAAGUUAGAGGUGAAAGCCUGGAGCUCAACUCCAGAAUUGCCUUUAAGACUGCAUCGCUCGAAUCCAGGAGAGGUGAGUGGAAUUCCGAGUGUAGAGGUGAAAUUCGUAGAUAUUCGGAAGAACACCAGUGGCGAAGGCGGCUCACUGGACUGGUAUUGACGCUGAGGUGCGAAAAGCGUGGGGAGCAAACAGGAUUAGAUACCCUGGUAGUCCACGCCGUAAACGACGAUAACUAGCUGUCCGGGGACUUGGUCCUUGGGUGGCGCAGCUAACGCAUUAAGUUAUCCGCCUGGGGAGUACGGCCGCAAGGUUAAAACUCAAAUGAAUUGACGGGGUCCUAGCUGUUUCCU
rnacentral:rRNA from 1 species